rnacentral:rRNA from 1 species
UAGGGAAUCUUCGGCAAUGGACGAAAGUCUGACCGAGCAACGCCGCGUGAGUGAAGAAGGUUUUCGGAUCGUAAAACUCUGUUGUUAGAGAAGAACAAGGACGUUAGUAACUGAACGUCCCCUGACGGUAUCUAACCAGAAAGCCACGGCUAACUACGUGCCAGCAGCCGCGGUAAUACGUAGGUGGCAAGCGUUGUCCGUAUUUAUUGGGCGUAAAGCGAGCGCAGGCGGUUUCUUAAGUCUGAUGUGAAAGCCCCCGGCUCAACCGGGGAGGGUCAUUGGAAACUGGGAGACUGGAGUGCAGAAGAGGAGAGUGGAAUUCCAUGUGUAGCGGUGAAAUGCGUAGAUAUAUGGAGGAACACCAGUGGCGAAGGCGGCUCUCUGGUCUGUAACUGACGCUGAGGCUAGAAAGCGUGGGGAGCAAACAGG